CGUAGGGUGCGAGCGUUAAUCGGAAUUACUGGGCGUAAAGUGUGCGCAGGUGGCCGCGCAUGUCGAGUGUGAAAUCCCCGGGCUUAACUUGGGAAUUGCGCUCGAAACUACGUGGCUAGAGUGUGGCAGAGGAAGGUGGAAUUCCACGUGUAGCGGUGAAAUGCGUAGAGAUGUGGAGGAACACCGAUGGCGAAGGCAGCCUUCUGGGCCAACACUGACGCUCAUGCACAAAAGCGUGGGGAGCAAACAGGAUUAGAUACCCUGGUAGUCCACGCCCUAAACGAUAAUGACUAGUUGUUGGAGGAGUUAAAUCCUUUAGUAACGCAGCUAACGCGUGAAGUCAUCCGCCGUGGGGAGUACGGUCGCAAGAAUU
rnacentral:rRNA from 1 species